rnacentral:rRNA from 1 species
UACGUAGGGGGCAAGCGUUGUCCGGAUUUAUUGGGCGUAAAGGGCUCGUAGGCGGUUUGUUGCGUCGGGAGUGAAAACUUACAGCUUAACUGUGAGCGUGCUUCCGAUACGGGCAGACUUGAGGUAUUCAGGGGAGAACGGAAUUCCUGGUGUAGCGGUGAAAUGCGCAGAUAUCAGGAGGAACACCGGUGGCGAAGGCGGUUCUCUGGGAAUAUCCUGACGCUGAGGAGCGAAAGUGUGGGGAGCGAACAGG